UCAGGAGGAGGAAGAGGAGGACCACCUGGCAGGGGGAGCACCAGCGCUGGGUCCCUUUCAGAUGUAUCGGCCUUGGUGGGUGCCUACCAAUACAGCACCUUGAUCAUUAUUCCUCCCAUUAUAACGGACAUAACACUAUCAAGAUACUGGAACGCUGGUGAGAGCAUUAAGGAUGCUACGAAGAUGUCUGCCUUUUGUUCUCUAAUCCGCAUUAGCUGCAUAUACACCCAGAUUAGCAAAACACUCAUGUGAUCUAUACCCCAAAGCAUAAACCAUUUGAUGACUUGACUUGACCCAGUUCACACAACCUGCUAAAACAGCAGAGGGGUUCCCCCAACCUGCCUUAUCCCAUUUUAGCCUGGCUUAGCUCAGCAUGCUGUGCAGUCACAUCCACGUGUUUAUUUUGCUAAUAGUAUUUACCCUCUCCACAUUUCUGGGUGGAAAUGCAUUUACUAUUUCUUUGCCUACCAUGUUUGUACCCCACCACAACUGUAUGCAGACUGUCAGCAGAAAUCCCACCACAACGAGUCACCUAAGUACUCUGCGGGCACCUUGCAAAUAAUUGAAAUGUCCCUCGUGACUUUACCCAAGUGAGGGCGGCAUUUCACUAUAUAAGCUACUGGCUGGUGGCUUUGGAAGCCAACAUCACGCAGAUGGGAAUGCAAUAAAAUUGGACAGGCCGCCUGAAAAGUCUCUGGCGACAGAUUCCGGGUGUCACAAAAGGGAACACAACCUUCCUUUGCAGACCUGGGUUGCUUACUUGCCCUGGACUGAAACCCGGAUUUCAGAGGCGCCAGGACUUUAGCCAGGAGCAAAGUGCCAGCUAUAUGCUUCAAGGCAAUUAUGUACAUUCUGUCUCCUUAGGAAAUAUCAGCUUGAACAAACUGGUGAAGUGGAAGCUAACUGCUCUGUGCCCUCUGAAAACAAAAGCUUCAGAACACUCCCCGAGGUUUCCACCAAGUUUGGCAAGCUUCAUCCUUUGUCUUUUUUCCAGCCCAACAACAGAAGGUUGGAAAGAAUCACGGAAAGGGGUUUGGAACAGUCUGUCCGUCUGUCCAUCAGCAAGAGGUCUCUCUGAAAACACAACACCGUGGGACCAAAUUUGGCCGGGGGGGUGGGGAGAAGCCAGCCAAAGAAAGAAUGAACUCAACGAUGGGCUGGAUCAGGCUGAGGGCCAGCAGAGGAAGCCCCCCCAGCCCCCAUUCAUCUCUAUGGACGAGGCAGAUGGACAGGAGCUCAGAACAUUGCUACAUGCUGCAUUCUAAGCCCAGUCAUAGGCCCCAAAGCAGAACAUACACAGCCCACCCUGUGCUUCUAUGUGCGCGCGCACACACACUCACACACAAUCUUAGAUUGUUACACAGAAGAAAAUACAGAAGCUCUUGUGGCCACUGCUGUUCAAAGGAUUGGAAAGAAUUCCAGAAUGUCGACCGCAAGACCCCCAUCUUGCUUCCUCUCCGAUAUCUGCCCUUUGCACCCUUGCGCCCCAAUGACGAGCCUUCAUUCCAUGAUCACCAAACGCUUUUCUGGCUCUGGAAGCUUUUUGGUUCAUUCUUAGCACAGUCCAGGAAACAAACAUGAAAGGUUUUUAUUUGGUUUUGUUUUAUUUUCAGUCAGUUAUCCUUUCCUAUUUCACCUGAUGCUGCAAGGGUUCAGAACACACUUUGGUCGUGAAAUCAUUCAGAAAUCUUGAUGUAAGGAGUUUCAUUCAGAUGCCAGUGGGAAAAAGCAGCCAUGUCAAUUUCAUUAGGCAUUUAUUUUGUGAAGCUUGUAGAAGUCAGAUGUUUAUAUUGUGUGUUGGUGGGGGGGUAUGUGUGUGUGGGUAGAGAAAGACUUGGUGUAUGUCUUUGUGUAUACACACACAAAUAUACAUAAAUACACACACACACACACGCUUCAUACUAUUUCCUCUUCAUAUUUUAAUCUCCAGUAGCGGGGUUAGGUUUAAGUGAAAGACCUGUCCAGGGGUCUCCGCAAAGUGCCAAGGUUAAAAUUUCCUAGGAGGACAAGAGGAAGACGGGGGAAGAAGAGGAAGAGAUGAAGUUGAAAAUGAAGCUGUAGACAAGGAGAUGAAGGAGAAGAUGAAAAUGACAUAGAGGAAGAAGAGAUGGUGAUCAAGGAGAGGAGGAGAUGAUUUGCUUCUUAAAAAAGGAGAAAUGUAGGAUCUUCAGCGGUGGGCAUUUGGAGGCCCCACAGAUCUUGGCACUUGCCCCCAUCAUACCGGGUGGCAUUGGGAGGGAUGUCAGUUUCAAAGCUUAGACUUCAUAACAGUCAGAAUUGAUAGACAGAUGAGAGAUGAGAGAGAGAGAGAGCCAAUAACAACUCUUUCAUUGAUUGAACAGGGCCAGGUAUUUUGAAAGCUGAAUUAGAUUUUAAAACUCCCCUUAGGCAUAUUGAAACUUGGAUGGAAUUAAGCCUCAAAGAGAUAUAAAUGAAUUAACUGUAUCGUUAGAAGCCAGGAUUCAAGUGAGGGGUGGGGCAGAGAAAUUAUAAGAAUUGCCAGUUUAAUUUCAAUUAAUAGCUUAAUUUUUAAAAAAUGAUGUAAAGGAAGGAAAAACUGAUUCCCACCUGGAGAAGUUCUUUCUCUAAUUUGGGAAAGGGGUUGCUUUGCCAUGCGUGUGUGUGUGUUUUAAUUUAUUUAUGUCAGAUAUUAAGUGAGAUUUAAAUCACAGGAACCACCCAUGUUAAUUUAUAUUUAGAGUUUUCUUGAUAUCUGUUUCUACAGCAGCCUGGCCCUAUAAAAUGGAAAGCAUGAAAAUGCAGCUUUAACCUGAAAAGGUUCUGAGAUACAUGUAGGUGGAAGAAAGCAAAUAAAGGAAAAAUUAAUUGGAGCUGCUCUUUGUUCCCCACUUUACGUUAGGAAAUGUCAAGGCUGAACAACAAUCUGGUUAGGUUAACCUGAUCUGUAACGUUGCACCGUAUCCUGUUUCAUAUCUGGAUAUAGUAUUAUUUUACACACCUCAUUUCCCAUAAUACAAAGGCGCCGUUGUCUCACAUCUAUUGUACUUCCACGAGCAUCUGAAAUUCAGUCCCUGAAAUGGUGAAGGGUAGUUUUAUUUCCUUUGACCUCUGGCUUUGGUUAAUCAUAAACUUCCAUAAGUAACCUCUUGAGUAACUCAAUACUGCAUCUCAGAAUCUUUGAUCGAGAAACCCGUCCCGAUGCUGCCAAAUUAAGAAAUUUCUAAAAGGCAUUACGCGUGCAUCCGCCUUACUCCCUUUUGGCUCCAGUAUCAGUUCUGACACUUUUAUGGGCGAAACAAAUUGCAAUCUCUUCACUGACCCUGUUUAUUUUCAAAAUAACCCUGCAGGUGUCUAAACCCAACCUGAUUCCCUCAUCCUUGUAUUCUUUUCAAAGUGAUCUCAACACUCUUCUGAUUUUUUUUUUUUAA